GCAUGAGAAGACAUCCCCUAGCCUGCAGGGACGGGGUGGGGAGGUCCUUCCUGGGGCACCCGAGGUUACAGGCUGCAGAGACACCCAGCUCCUGCACCUGGUUGGGAGUCACAGCCUCGCCUGGGAUGGCAGAUCCCGCCUGCUCCCAGCCCUCUCCAAAUAGCACAGGGAGGCUCGGAUCCACAGCCGCAAUUUAGGUGGCUGUAGCCCGGCCCAGCAGGAUGGGGUUCCUUUGUGCUCCGUGGAGCAGGAGGCCUGGGUCUGCAGCUGCGGUUUGGGCAGCUGCAGCAACAAACGGGGAGUUCCCGUCCCAACUCACAAGGGGCGGGGCUCCCACCGGCUCCACGGAGUGUGCAGCAUUAGCCGCACCUCCCUGCUGCAGCCGGAAUGAUGACCGCAGCUACUGCCAUCAAUACCAACAUGGGCGAAGAGAUUCCGGAAUUACAGAGGCCACAAGGCCUGGAUCCCUGAGGUUUGACCCCUGAUACACCAAGACAAUUUAGUACCAUGAGAAAAAGUUAGGUGAAGAAAAAGCAGAACUGUGAAGACUAG
rnacentral:lncRNA from 1 species